ACGUCACGCUGAGGAGCCUUCUUCUGCCGAAAACGCCUACCCAGGAGACGUAUGACGUGGUCAUCGCAACGCUGAAAAAGCACUACACCCCGAAGUGCUCCGUGGUUACGGAAAGAUACCGUUUUAACCAACGCAAGCAAGAACCGCACGAAAGCAUCAGCGACUUCAUAGUAGGACUCAAGAAACUGGCUGCAACGUCAUACGGUGCAGGCUUCUGGCGACACCUGAUGCAGAAUUAACCUGGGAGCGCACCUGCAGCAUUGUAGCAGCCAUGGAAUCUGCUACUAGAGGCACUCGGGAAAUGGUGGCGACCCUCGCAACAGGGACCCCCGUCGACAGCGACGUUCACUGGAACAAGGAAACGGCAGCUGGACAGCGGCAAGCACCCGCUGGGGACUACGCACGGAGUGACAUGCCGAAAACCGCUUCAGCUGCAGGUACACAAGAGACUAAGGGGUGUCAUCGUUGCGGUGGGCGGCACUCUCCUGUAAGUUGUCCGUUCAUGAACAGCCGUUGUUUUAAAUGUAACAAGAAAGGCCAUGUAGCCAAAAUGUGUAAAACUAGGGCGCUAUUCAUUGCCUGGCGAAUGAUGCAACGCGUGAUGAGUUGUUGACACUGUGUCACACAGACCGUAGGUCGGGCACGCCUGCCAUUGUGGUGCCGUUGCUGAUAAACGGAAAAAAGAUUUCGAUGGAGCUAGAUACAGGCGCAGCCGUAUCGGUAAUGUGUGAAACAGAA